UGGGGAAUAUUGCACAAUGGGCGCAAGCCUGAUGCAGCCAUGCCGCGUGUAUGAAGAAGGCCUUCGGGUUGUAAAGUACUUUCAGCGGGGAGGAAGGGAGUAAAGUUAAUACCUUUGCUCAUUGACGUUACCCGCAGAAGAAGCACCGGCUAACUCCGUGCCAGCAGCCGCGGUAAUACGGAGGGUGCAAGCGUUAAUCGGAAUUACUGGGCGUAAAGCGCACGCAGGCGGUUUGUUAAGUCAGAUGUGAAAUCCCCGGGCUCAACCUGGGAACUGCAUCUGAUACUGGCAAGCUUGAGUCUCGUAGAGGGGGGUAGAAUUCCAGGUGUAGCGGUGAAAUGCGUAGAGAUCUGGAGGAAUACCGGUGGCGAAGGCGGCCCCAUGGACGAAGACUGACGCUCAGGUGCGAAAGCGUGGGGAGCAAACAGG
rnacentral:rRNA from 1 species